rnacentral:rRNA from 1 species
GACGAACGCUGGCGGCGUGCCUAAUACAUGCAAGUAGAACGCUGAAGCGAGGAGCUUGCUCUUCUUGGAUGAGUUGCGAACGGGUGAGUAACGCGUAGGUAACCUGCCUUGUAGCGGGGGAUAACUAUUGGAAACGAUAGCUAAUACCGCAUAACAAUGGAUGACACAUGUCAUUUAUUUGAAAGGGGCAAUUGCUCCACUACAAGAUGGACCUGCGUUGUAUCAGCUAGUAGGUGAGGUAAUGGCUCACCUAGGCGACGAUACAUAGCCGACCUGAGAGGGUGAUCGGCCACACUGGGACUGAGACACGGCCCAGACUCCUACGGGAGGCAGCAGUAGGGAAUCUUCGGCAAUGGGGGCAACCCUGACCGAGCAACGCCGCGUGAGUGAAGAAGGUUGUCGGAUCGUAAAGCUCGGUUGUAAGUCAAGAACGGGUGUGAGAGUGGAAAGUUCACACUGUGACGGUAGCUUACCAGAAAGGGACGGCUAACUACGUG